GUACGCAAUAAUCUCCACAAUUAACUCCUCUGCCAAUUGAUUUUCAUCGCCGAUUCCUAUUCAUAUUCUCCAUCACGAUCCCUUUUAAACUUCCAUCUUCCCCACCGAUAUUAGAAACACACCGCCCGCUAGCACAGCUGCCGUCCCCAGUCGUCCAUCCCACGAGAGCCACCCACCACCGCCCAGCCCCACCCCCCUCUCCGUCUGGACCCCAUAUGUCGACGCCAGCAACCUGCGCACCGUCGCCAGCCAACUGACCGCCGGCGCCGCCCUCGACCAAGCCGUUGCGCACGCCACCUGCCCCAACCCCACCGCGUGCCGCCGGUGGCAACCGUCCCGUGCCCUCGCCGAUAGCCACAAGCCCACAAGCAUCUGUAAUUGUGGAUCUACCUUCCCCAACACCGAUCUGUACCCCGUGAUUCGACUUCCCGCCGCCGGCUAGCCUGCUUCAGUGCCACCGGGCAAGCCCACGGAGCAGCGCUCGCCCAACGCCCUGACAGUGGCCAGCGACGCAUGUGUCCGUGGCCCCACCCAUCACAACCGACCAGACUACUUCUUCCUCCUUCAUCUGAAAACGAUGAUAUGGAGGAGCCCACGACGGUGUCCCGUUUCUUCUCUGGUCAAGCUCUUCUUUUAUUUUGAAUAAGGCUUUUGUCAAGUUCCUGUACUCUUCUUGCAUCGUGAGUGUGGCAUCGCCCAGUCUAUGAAAAUUUUCUCAACAUGGUAGUGGUACAAAGAUAAAUGGUGCGAUGCAAAGCAGCUGGUGGAUUCUGGGGGAUGCCAUCGUCGCACUAGGUUUCAGAAGCUGCCUCUUCACCAUCCCUGCAAUCUUUUGCCUAUUUGGUUAGUGUGUUUCUUAUCUUGAUUAUUGUAGCUAUUGGAAAUGUUGGAUCUUUUGAUAUUUGGUCCUCGAUCUGACAAGUAUUACCCUUUUGAUAAAUAACUUUGUAAAACUACAUCAUUCAGUUCAUUUCUUAGAUCAUCUCCAGUAGUAGUUAAUUUUAAGUCUAGAUUGAAGUUUUAAUAGUAAUCUAAGGACUGUACAUCUUGGUUAUUGUCUUAUUGAUUAUACAAUACAUAUCAGAGGAAACUACAAGUGCCUUAAACAACCUACUGAAAAUCUAUGAUUACAUAGAGGUGUAGCCGUGGUCUAAGAUCAGGGCCAGAGCCAGAUUUGGACCAUGCUCUAAGGCUCUGAGCUGGCUGUUUGGCUUUGUGAUGUUAAUCAACACAUUUUCUCUCUUAUGUCUAUACAUCUUUACUGGUCCUAUAAGUGAUUCUGCAGGGUUACCUUGAUAGAUAAUUUUCUCAGGAACACAAAUACGAGAGUACAUUUGUUCUGGGAUGGGGUGAAUUUAUUGGAGGAGACUACCAGUAAGUACUAUUUUUUCUUAAUCCCUGAUUAUUUCACUGAAAUUAGCCUCGCCGUGCAUUUGUGCGGUCGUGCAUCACUUUCAUUGGAGAUCUUGCAACUUUCACUCAUUGGCGAUCUUAAUGGAAUUGCUUUGAACCAAAAUGUUCAUAGUAAAGUCUAUUCUCCCAUUUAAAUUUCUUCGAGGAAUCAAGAAUGCCAAGUACAUCACAACUUCUAAUUGUUGCUCCGAAUGAAACAGAUAAAAUCAUCUGAGUAGGGAUUUCUAGACAAGGUACAACCUACAUGUAGAAGCUUCUCAAAGAAGUUAUCAUGCCAGUAUACAUAAAUAAAAUUUAGUUUUGCUUAUGUACAUUACUGCUUCCUUAGCAAUUAAAAGAACUAUAUCAAUGUACGAUAUUGAUGAUUGUUGGAGUUCUGGGAACGGGGGUCCCAAGACUUGCCUGCCUGCGGCCCAUGGCGAGGCUCUGUUAGAGGGCCCGUACAACCCAUCUUCACCAACAAGCACUCAAGACCAUUGCGAGGGGCCAAGCCUCGCGAGGCGGACGGCGCAAGACCCCUUCGGGAGCGGCCUCACCAGGUUGGCUCGCGAGGGGCGGAGAGAUCAAGGCAAGACAAACCUCGCGAGGUUCUCGUGAUGUGAGCCAUGACGACCGAGACCAGGCGGGCGCCAGCGCACACAGUAUCCUUGUUUCCUCUUUGGUGCUAAGGAGGCAAGCGCAAGCGCAGAGUACCGAGGCGUCAAGUAAAGGUUUCCAUAUCAGUGCAACAAGACCAAGACCGGCAAGACGGAGGUCACGAUGGAGCCCAAGGCGGCGUCACCACCAGAGCCUUUUGGAGGCGAAGACUGCUUUUGUCAGGAUAAGUUAUACUAGCUGUCCCCUUUCAAAUUGGCCGUUGUUGGCUCCCUUCCCGCUCAAUAUUUGGGGAGAGGACCAGGGCCUAUAUAAAUAGGACUAGCCACCACCGUAGGAGACAACUCAUUCGGAGCCAUCUCAUCUCAUCUUGAGUAAUCCUCACCCACACAAGUUCACCGAGCAUAAGAACACCUCGCCUCAGGAGGCUGUUCUUCCCCUUGUACUGUUUAUCCUCGGCCCAAGGGCAAUCCACCAGCACCACACUGGAGUAGGCUAUUACACCACAACGGUGGCCCAAACCAGUAUAAA